rnacentral:tRNA from 1 species
UGGGAUGUGGCUCAGUGGUAGAGCACUUGCCUAGCAUGUGUGAGGCCCUGGGUUCGAUUCUCAGCACCACAU